UGUUCUUCGUGAACAUAGCGAACUGCUCAGUAACACGUGGAUAACCUGCCCUUAGGUUCGGCAUAACUCCGGGAAACUGGUGAUAAUUCCGAAUAAACCAUUAUUGCUGGAAUGCUUUUUGGUUCAAAGACUUCGGUUGCCUAAGGAUGGAUCUGCGGUCUAUCAGGUAGUAGUGGGUGUAAGGUACCUACUAGCCUACGACGGAUAUGGGUUGUGAGAGCAAGAGCCCAGAGAUGGAUUCUGAGACAUGAAUCCAGGCCCUACGGGGCGCAGCAGGCGCGAAAACUUUACAAUGCGGGAAACCGCGAUAAGGGGACACCGAGUGCCAGCAUAUUAUGUUGGCUGUCCACAUGUGUAAACGGCAUGUGUUAGCAAGGGCCGGGCAAGACCGGUGCCAGCCGUCGCGGUAACACCGGCGGCCCGAGUGGUAAUCACUUUUAUUGGGUCUAAAGGGUCCGUAGCCGGUUUGAUCAGUUCUUCGGGAAAUCUGACAGCUUAACUGUUAGGCUUCUGGGGAAUACUGUCAGACUUGGGACCGGGAGAGGUAAGAGGUACUACAGGGGUAGGAGUGAAAUCUUGUAAUCCCUGUGGGACCACCAGUGGCGAAGGCGUCUUACCAGAACGGGUCCGACGGUGAGGGACGAAAGCUGGGGGCACGAACCGGAUUAGAUACCCGGGUAGUCCCAGCCGUAAACGAUGUUCGCUAGGUGUCAGGGACGGUGCGACCGUUUCUGGUGCCGCAGGGAAGCCGUGAAGCGAACCACCUGGGAAGUACGGCCGCAAGGCUGAAACUUAAAGGAAUUGGCGGGGGAGCACUACAACGG
rnacentral:rRNA from 1 species